rnacentral:rRNA from 1 species
GAACGCUGGCGGCGUGCCUAAUACAUGCAAGUCGAACGCACUCUCGUUUAGAUUGAAGGAGCUUGCUCCUGAUUGAUAAACAUUUGAGUGAGUGGCGGACGGGUGAGUAACACGUGGGUAACCUGCCCUAAAGUGGGGGAUAACAUUUGGAAACAGAUGCUAAUACCGCAUAAAACCUAACACCGCAUGGUGUAGGGUUGAAAGAUGGUUUCGGCUAUCACUUUAGGAUGGACCCGCGGUGCAUUAGUUAGUUGGUGAGGUAAAGGCUCACCAAGACCGUGAUGCAUAGCCGACCUGAGAGGGUAAUCGGCCACACUGGGACUGAGACACGGCCCAGACUCCUACGGGAGGCAGCAGUAGGGAAUCUUCCACAAUGGACGAAAGUCUGAUGGAGCAACGCCGCGUGAGUGAAGAAGGUUUUCGGAUCGUAAAACUCUGUUGUUGGAGAAGAAUGUAUCUGAUAGUAACUGAUCAGGUAGUGACGGUACCCAACCAGAAAGCCACGGCUAACUACGUGCCAGCAGCCGCGGUAAUACGUAGGUGGCAAGCGUUGUCCGGAUUUAUUGGGCGUAAAGCGAGCGCGGGCGGUUUCUUAAGUCUGAUGUGAAAGCCUUCGGCUCAACCGAAGAAGUGCAUCGGAAACUGGGAAACUUGAGUGCAGAAGAGGACAGUGGAACUCCAUGUGUAGCGGUGAAAUGCGUAGAUAUAUGGAAGAACACCAGUGGCGAAGGCGGCUGUCUGGUCUGUAACUGACGCUGAGGCUCGAAAGCAUGGGUAGCAAACAGGAUUAGAUACCCUGGUAGUCCAUGCCGUAAACGAUGAGUGCUAGGUGUUGGAGGGUUUCCGCCCUU